GCUUACGGCCAUACCACCCUGAGCACACCCGACUUCGUUUGACCUCGGAAGCUAAGCAGGGCUGGUCUUAGUUAGUACUUGGAUGGGAGGUUGCCACGGAAUACCAGGUGCUGUAAGCC
ensembl:rRNA 5S_rRNA 5S ribosomal RNA